ACGCUCGACACCUACGGGAGGCAGCAGUGGGGAAUAUUGCACAAUGGGGGAAACCCUGAUGCAGCGACGCCGCGUGAGUGAAGAAGUAUUUCGGUAUGUAAAGCUCUAUCAGCAGGGAAGAAAAUGACGGUACCUGAGUAAGAAGCCCCGGCUAACUACGUGCCGGCAGCCGCGGUAAUCUGAGCGGGCUGGCAAGGC
rnacentral:rRNA from 1 species